rnacentral:rRNA from 1 species
GACGAACGCUGGCGGCGUGCCUAAUACAUGCAAGUAGAACGCUGAAGCGAGGAGCUUACUCUUCUUGGAUGAGUUGCGCACGGGUGAGUAACGCGUAGGUAACCUGCCUUGUAGCGGGGGAUAACUAUUGGAAACGAUAGCUAAUACCGCAUAACAAUGGGUGACACAUGUCAUUUAUUUGAAAGGGGCAAUUGCUCCACUACAAGAUGGACCUGCGUUGUAUUAGCUAGUAGGUGAGGUAAUGGCUCACCUAGGCGACGAUACAUAGCCGACCUGAGAGGGUGAGCGGCCACACUGGGACUGAGACACGGCCCAGACGCCUACGGGAGGCAGCAGUAGGGAAUCUUCGGCAAGGGGGGCAACCUUGACCGAGCAACGCCGAGGGAGUGAAGAAGGUUGUCGGAUCGGAGAGGUCGGUUGUAAGUCAAGAACGGGUGUGAGAGUGGAAAGUUCAGACUGUGACGGUAGCUGACCAGAAAGGGACGGCUAACUACGUG